rnacentral:lncRNA from 1 species
UGAAUGAAGAAAUAACUAAAUAAAUAAAUAACUAUAGGAUAAAUAGGUAAAAGAAUAAAUAAAUAAAUGAAUAAGUGCAUGAGUAAAUAGAUAAAUUGCUAAAUGAUAAAUAGGUAAAAGAAUAAAUAAAUAAAUGAAUAAGUGCAUGAGUAAAUAGAUAAAUAGCUAAAUGAUAAAUAGGUAAAAGAAUAAAUAAAUAAAUGAAUAAGUGCAUGAGUAAAUAGAUAAAUAGCUAAAUGAAUAAAUAAG